GAGAUCGGGAUAACACCUGGAAACAGAUGCUAAUACCGGAUAACAAUAGAUGAUGCCUAUCAACUGUUUAAAAGAUGGUUCUGCUAUCACUCUUGGAUGGACCUGCGGUGCAUUAGCUAGUUGGUAGGGUAACGGCCUACCAAGGCGAUGAUGCAUAGCCGAGUUGAGAGACUGAUCGGCCACAUUGGGACUGAGACACGGCCCAAACUCCUACGGGAGGCAGCAGAG
rnacentral:rRNA from 1 species